UACGUAGGUGGCAAGCGUUAUCCGGAAUUAUUGGGCGUAAAGGGCGCGUAGGCGGCUGUACAAGUCAAAGGUGAAAUCCCUCGGCUCAACUGAGGAACUGCCUUUGAAACUGUACGGCUUGAGGCCGGGAGGGGGUAGCGGAAUUCCCAGUGUAGCGGUGAAAUGCGUAGAUACUGGGAGGAACACCAGUGGCGAAGGCGGCUACCUGGACCGGUUCUGACGCUGAGGCGCGAAAGCGUGGGGAGCAAACAGG
rnacentral:rRNA from 1 species